ACACAAUGUCAUCUGGGAUGGCUGAACAUCUACCCCCCCAGCACAUCAGCACUUCAGAUGCUUUUGCCAUCUCUUGGAUGCCCUGGUGAAGCCAACAACUGUGAGUACUAUUCAUUGCUCAGGAUAUCAGGAGGGAAGAGAUUCAGUGGCAUGGGGCAAUAACGAAGCAGAUCAAGUGGCUCGAAAAAUGGCUAUGCAGGAGCCUAUCCUGGUUGCAGGCCUGCAAGAGACAGCCACUGAGAACUAGGAUCGGACUAAGGGAUGGCCUCACUUAGAAAAGGCCCAAAUUGCUUAAAAGAUAAAGGACAAUGGCACACUUGAGGGGAAAGCUAUACUCCCCAGAGAAUAAAGGAAAGACUCACUUUGCCAAAUACAGAAAUGGACUCAUUUAGGAGAUAAGAAGUUUGUCCAAGUAGUUAAGGUGUGUGUAAUAGACUUUAAGAUUUUAGCCAGAGAGACAGUAGAAAGUAUAAGGUAUGUCAAUAAGUGAAUGCUUAGCAAGCAAACAGGGCAAAGAGACCUAGAGAGUUUAGUGAAAAGUCGAAGUGAACUUCACUGAGAUAAAACCAGAAAAAUAUAAUCACAAGUAUCUCCUAGUGCAUGUAGAUACUUUUUCAGGAAGAUAGAAGCUUUCCUCACCAAAUGAGAGAUGGCCUCUGCAGUCAUCAAGAAGAUACUGGAAGAAAUCUUCCCCCGAUUUGGAAUGCCCAAGGUAAUCUGGUCAGACAAAGGCCCUACUUUCGUUGCCAAGGUAAGCCAGGGUGUGGCCAAGUAUUUAGAGGUCAAUUGGAAAUUACAUUGUAUCUACAGACCUCAAAGUUCAGGACAGGUAGAGUAAAUAAAUAAAAUUUU
rnacentral:lncRNA from 1 species